rnacentral:rRNA from 1 species
GGCUGAGAGAUCAGCUGUUCCCUUCGGGGACAGAAUGACAGGUGGUGCGUGGUUGUCGUCAGCUCGUGUCGUGAGAUGUUGGGUUAAGUCCCGCAACGAGCGCAACCCUUAUGAUCAGUUGCCAGCAUUCAGUUGGGCACUCUGGUCAGACUGCCGGUGACAAACCGGAGGAAGGCGGGGAUGACGUCAAAUCAUCAUGCCCCUUAUGACCUGGGCUACACACGUGCUACAAUGGGUGGUACAACGAGCAGCGAGACCGCGAGGUCAAGCGAAUCUCUAAAAACCAUCCUCAGUUCGGAUUGCAGGCUGCAACUCGCCUGCAUGAAGCUGGAAUCGCUAGUAAUCGCGGAUCAGCACGCCGCGGUGAAUACGUUCCCGGGUCUUGUACACACCGA